UGACAGUACUCCUACGGGAGGCAGCAGUGGGGAAUAUUGCACAAUGGGCGCAAGCCUGAUGCAGCAACGCCGUGUGAGUGAAGAAGGUUUUCGGAUACGUAAAACUCUGUCCUAAGGGAAGAAACAAAUGACGGUACCUUAGGAGGAAGCCCCGGCUAACUACGUGCCAGCAGCCGCGGUAAUACGUAGGGGCAAGCGUUAUCCGGAAUCACUGGGCGUAAAGGGUGCGUAGGCGGCUUAGCAAGCCAGGGGUGAAAGGCAUUGGCUCAACCAAUGUAAGCCUUUGGAACUGUUAAGCUUGAGUGCAGGAGAGGUAAGUGGAAUUCCUAGUGUAGAGGUGAAAUUCGUAGAUAUUAGGAGGAACACCAGUGGCGAAGGCGACUUACUGGACUGUAACUGACGCUGAUGCACGAAAGCGUGGGUAGCGAACAGGAUUAGAUACCCUGGUAG
rnacentral:rRNA from 1 species